rnacentral:rRNA from 1 species
GACAGAGGGUGCAAACGUUGUUCGGAAUUACUGGGCGUAAAGCGUGUGUAGGCGGCUACGCACGUCGGAUGUGAAAGCCCCGGGCUCAACCCGGGAAGUGCACCCGAAACUGCGUGGCUCGAGUACCGGAGAGGUUGGUGGAAUUCUCGGUGUAGAGGUGAAAUUCGUAGAUAUCGAGAGGAACACCGGUGGCGAAGGCGGCCAACUGGACGAGUACUGACGCUGAGACACGAAAGCGUGGGGAGCAAACAGG